rnacentral:rRNA from 1 species
UACGUAGGGGGCAAGCGUUGUCCGGAUUUGUUGGGCGUAAAGAGCGUGUAGGCGGCUUUACAGGUCCGUUGUGAAAACUCGAGGCUCAACCUCGAGACGCCGGUGGAAACCGUAAGGCUAGAGUCCGGAAGAGGAGAGUGGAAUUCCUGGUGUAGCGGUGAAAUGCGCAGAUAUCAGGAAGAACACCCGUGGCGAAGGCGGCUCUCUGGGACGGUACUGACGCUGAGACGCGAAAGCGUGGGGAGCGAACAGG